rnacentral:antisense_RNA from 1 species
GCUCUUUGGAAACCAAGAAACACUCUGCAAAUGAAAAGGGUGGAAGAGUAAACUGUUCCCGUUUCUCCAAAUUGACAGGAAGCAGAAGUUCUCCUUAGCUGAUUUUUCUUCUUGCCUUAUACUGGGUUCUUUAACACCAGAACAAAAAUAAAUAAAUAAAAGAAUCUUCCAGAAAUUCAUGAAGAGACUUCAGGUCAGGAAAGCCUGAACUUUCUCAUCUAACACCUGUUCAAGUCGGAGGAUGCUGAUUAAUUCAUGAUGGAAAGGUAUCAAUUUCACAGCCCAGACUUCUACAUUCUUGAAAUGCUGUUCUCAUGGGAGACAUUAAAUAAGCUUUGAAAUAACUGAAGAACCAAUGAUGUGAUCCCUGGAUACUGGCAAUUGUUGCCCAAGAAACCCUCUCCCCUUGCUAUGGGACUGCUGGGCACCCAAAUAAUGCACCCAAAUAAUUUGAUAGCUCUUGUUACACAGCUCUUUUUGGACUAAAAGGCCCUCAGCAUUCCUGGCAAUUUCUACACUCCUGAAGCUUCAUCUGGAGACGUCUGUGGAUUCUAUAACUCAAAGACCCAGGCUGAUGGCUGGUGGAAUAGCUACCAUCUCAAACAUGGCGUGAUGCUGCAUCAGAGGGAAAAAUAAGCUCUUGCACUGGCAAUGAAAUGUCUACCCUGUAGUGACUUGUGCUUACUUCCACUCACAAAUGAUUGCCCAGAGCUACUUACCUGGCUCCAAUCUACCACUGGUGCCAUGACACCCAGGAUGCAGCUGUAGGAACACCACUGGGUCCCUGGAUAUCAUGUAAGCCCUUAAGUAAAGGUGCCAUCAAAUGAUUUCUCAGAAAUUAUAAAGAAACAAAA